ACACCACGGUACUCAAGGAAUCGUGCAGCGUGGCGUGGGCGCGGACCCGUGUUGGACUCCGCGGUCCCCUCAGCUGCUUCUCCUCUGAGCUUGUUUAGGACCCACCUUGUGGGUAACAGCGCCCGUCUUCAGGGCUUCAGGGCUUGGUAUUCAGCUGCUCGGGCUUCUAACCGAAAGGAGACGUAACAUUCAUGGGGCUGGGUCCUCUGCCGCCAAAUCAAAGCCCUGCAGCACAGAGACCAUUUCUGUUUCUCAAGACAAGACGACGGGAUACAUCACCAGGAGUCCAGAGUGGAGCUGUGUGCUCAGUAAUUAGGCCCUCCUCGGGGCGCCGGCAUUUGAGUUAACGAGUUGGACAAAGGAUUGUCUGUUUAGAAAUCCUUUUCCUUGUGAAAGCUAUAAAAGCUGUUUUUAUUGAGAAAUGUCCUGUUGAACGUGUAGGAGUCAGGUGCUUCCCUAUGGGAAGCUGGAGACCCCAUUUUCCUCCUCUACUCGGCACUCGUUCUUGGGUCCCGUUGGGUGGACUUGGGUCCCGUCUGCCCCAUCCUGCCGCCUGGAGGGCUCCUUGAGUCAUGUCUCUCGGUGCAGGGCGGCCUUGCCGCGUCUGAGGGCACUGUCUUCACUUGGGUGUCUUCACGGUAGAAAGAAUUCUGGGUUGACGGUCAGCUCCACCGUCCCCUGCCUCGGGGUGUUUCUCGCAGGAAGCCCCUGUGCCCCUCGUGGGCUCCUCCAUUCACAGUGUGACUUUCCUGCUGACUGCCUUUCCGUUCUUGUCUUAUCGCUGGUUUUUAGCAGCUUGACUUUGACUCGGGUAGUCUUCCUCGUGUCCUGCAUUUGGCGGUGGUUGAGCUUCUCGGGUCUGCGAGUUGUGUCAAUUUUUGGCCAUCGUGUUUGUUUUACAUUGCUGCCGUAACAGGUGUUUGCGGACGUGGCGGCCAUGGGACCCGGCUCAGGCGUUGCCUCGUAGUCCGGUGCUCAGGGGUCUAGGGUCUGUCCGGGCCACGGCAGGGUCGGUUGGGGCUCUGAUGUUCUCCGUGGCGUGAGGCGUCGGCAGCACCGAGUGUCCCGGCCCCGGCCCGGCGGCAGGUCACGGCAGGGCCGUCCGCUGCUCUUCCCUGGAGGCCCGCAGGAGUGUACCCUCCCGGCCUGCCCGUCUAGUCCAAGGUCAUCUCCCGAUUUUAAGGUCAGUUGAUUAGUAACCUUCAUCACACCUGCAAAAUCCCUUUGCCACGUGAGGGGACAGACGCACGGGUGUGCGUCCUCCUCCCAUUCACGGUCCUGGGGAGGAGGCUGGGAAGUAUCCCAGAACCAUUUCUAGAAUUCUGUAGAAUUCUGCACAUGCCAGCCGUUCAGUACCUUUUUCUUUUUUGGUUUGGGAUUUUGUUGUUGUUGUUUGUUUUUGAUCGCUCAGGGACUCCAGUCACACGUGUAUUUGGCUGCUUGAAGUCCCACAGCUUACUGAUGCCCCAUUUGUCGUAUUCCAGUCUGUUUUCUUUCUGUGCCUCAUUUUGAGGAGUCUGCGUUGCCGUUUCUUGCGGCCUGUUCGUCCUGGCUUGUGUGACGUCUGGUCUGCUGCCGCUCCCAUCUAGCAAACCGUCUGUCCCGGGCGUGAUCGCUGUGGUUUCCUCUGGUGUGUGUGUGUGUUGUGUUUCCCAUUCUUCCACCUGCCUGCACGCGUGGGAUGCAGUUAUAAUGAGUAUUUUGAUGUCCCGAUCUGUUAAAUCUGUCUGUCACUUCUGGAUCAGUUUUGAUUGGUUGAUUUUUUUUUUUCCCCCGAAUUAUGGGUUGUGAUCAUGGCGUCUUAAGAUCCUCGUGUCCAACAUUUGUAUCAUCUGUGGGUUUGCAGCUGUUGUCUUUUUUUGGUGUAACGUCUGUCUUUUCACACGUUUGGUAAGUUUCCGCCGUGUGCUGGUCAUCGCAUAUGAAAAAGCCAAAGACCCCGGAGGACGUUUUUCCCUGGAGACGACCCCCCCUCUGUCCAGCGGGGCCACGAUGCAGCACCCAGAUACACCAGAGCGGUACUUAGGGGUCAGGUCUGACUGACAUUUAUGGAAGACUGUCCGCUGCGGGUUCUUGCCUUUUCAUGGAGUGCAGUCCAGAGUUCCUGCUCUGUAAGAUGACACCUGCUUCGGGUGUUUGUCCCCUCGGCCCCGAAUGACUGGGAGAUUCAAUCUCCUCCUGAAACAGGUUUCAGCUUGGUUGCUGCAUCGUGCAGUGUAAACACGUGGAGACUCCACCCCACACGCUUCAAAACUUGUAUUAUCUUGACUGGGAGAAUGGCUGUGUGUUUGAAACCCCCGGGUCUCAAACGUGGUCGCCCCAGCCCUGUGCAAAGCCCGUCUCCGCCAGGUUCUCUGUGUGCGGCCCCGGCCCGCUGCCAGUGAGCUGAAAUCCCCGCCCUUCAUGCUCUCGGGAGUGGGGGAGCCUUGUGGCCCUCAUCACUGCGUCCGCGUGUUCACUGCCCUGCUGUGCGGCCUCCAGGCCCCUCCUGCCCUCAGAGCAGCCCUCUUCGGAGGUCUUGCACGUUCAGUGCCAGGCCACCGCAGUCAAGCAGAUGGUGCCGUGACACGAGUCAAACGCGUGUUUUGGUUUCCCAGCGCGUGCUGAAGUUCUGGGUACACUGCAGUCUGUUCAGCGUGCCGCGCUGUCGCGCCCCAAAAACAGCGUCUUUUAAAACUUUAAUUGAAAAAUACUUCAUUGGGGCAUCUGGGUGGCCCGGUUGGCUGAACAUCUGACUUUGGCUCAGGUCAUGAACUCACAGUGUGUGAGUCGGAGCCCCACGUCGGGCUCACUGCUGUCAUCGCAGAGCCCGUUGGGAUCCUCUGUCGUCCCCCCCCUGCACUUCCCCUGCUCACGUGUGCGCCCUCUCUCUCUCUCUGUC